AUACAGUGGUGUGAACAUUUUCUCAAAGGUUCUUUGUACCUUUCCCAAGUUUCAUAAAGUGAUUCUACUUUUUGCUGCAUAAAAGAUGUGAUUUCUCCUCUCAGCUU